CGUCUUAGCAUGCAGUCGAGCGGCAAGGGGGAGUAAUCCCCCCUAGAGCGGCGGACUGGUGAGUAACGCGUGGGUGACCUGCCUUGAGGUUGGGGAUAGCCGCUAGAAAUAGCGGGUAAUACCGGAUAUGGUUACGGGGUUAUGACCCGGUAAAGAAAGGGGCUUUGGCUCCGCCUGAAGAUGGGCCCGCGUUUCAUUAGCUAGUUGGUGGGGUAACGGCUCACCAAGGCGAUGAUGGAUAGCCGGCCUGAGAGGGUGAACGGCCACAUUGGGACUGAGAUACGGCCCAAACUCCUACGGGAGGCAGCAGCUAAGAAUAUUCCGCAAUGGGGGAAACCCUGACGGAGCGACGCCGCGUGGAUGACGAAGGCCGGAAGGUUGUAAAAUCCUUUUGCCGGGGAAGAAUAAGCGGGGGAGGGAAUGCCCCUGUGAUGACGCUACCCGGUGAAUAAGCCCCGGCUAAUUACGUGCCAGCAGCCGCGGUAACACGUAAGGGGCGAGCGUUGUUCGGAAUUAUUGGGCGUAAAGGGCGCGUAGGCGGUUUUGUAAGUCUGGCGUGAAAAGGCGGAGCUUAACUCCGUCCGUGCGUUGGAAACUGUGAGACUGGAGUCAUGGAGGGGUAGUUGGAAUUCCUGGUGUAGGGGUGAAAUCUGUAGAUAUCAGGAAGAACACCGGUGGCGAAGGCGAACUACUAGCCGAUGACUGACGCUGAGGCGCGAAAGUGCGGGGAGCAAACAGGAUUAGAUACCCUGGUAGUCCGCACUAUAAACGAUGCACACUAGUGUUGGGCCGAGCGGCUCAGUGCCGGAGCGAACGUGAUAAGUGUGCCGCCUGGGGAGUAUGCCCGCAAGGGUGAAACUCAAGGAAUUGACGGGGGCCCGCACAAGCGGUGGAGCAUGUGGUUUAAUUCGAUGAUACGCGAGGAACCUUACCUGGGUUUGACAUGGCAGCGGAGGUGCAGAGAUGUAUCCGCCUGGCAACAGCGCUGCACAGUGCUGCAUGGCUGUCG
rnacentral:rRNA from 1 species